UCAGGUAGUAGUGGGUCUAAUGUACCUACUAGCCUACGACGGGUACGGGUUGUGAGAGCAAGAGCCCGGAGAUGGAUUCUGAGACACGAAUCCAGGCCCUACGGGGUGCAGCAGGCGCGAAAACUUUACAAUGCCGGCAACGGCGAUAAGGGAACCUCGAGUGCCAGGUUAUAAAUCUGGCUGACGUGAUGCCUAAAAAGCAUUGCAUAGCAAGGGCCGGGCAAGACCGGUGCCAGCCGCCGCGGUAACACCGGCGGCUCGAGUGGUAACCGUUAUUAUUGGGUCUAAAGGGUCUGUAGCCGGCCGGAUAAGUCUCUUGGGAAAUCCAGCAGCUCAACUGUUGGGCUUCCAGUAGAUACUGUCUGGCUCGAGGCCGGGAGAGGUGAGAGGUACUUCAGGGGUAGGGGUGAAAUCUUGUAAUCCUUGAAGGACCACCAGUGGCGAAGGCGUCUCACCAGAACGGACCUGACGGCAAGGGACGAAAGCUAGGGGCACGAACCGGAUUAGAUACCCGGGUAGUCCUAGCCGUAAACGAUACUCGCUAGGUGUCGGCCACGGUGCGACCGUGGUCGGUGCCGUAGGGAAGCCGUGAAGCGAGCCACCUGGGAAGUACGGCCGCAAGGCUGAAACUUAAAGGAAUUGGCGGGGGAGCACUACAACGGGUGGAGCCUGCGGUUUAAUUGGAUUCAACGCCGGAAAUCUUACCGGGACCGACAGCGAUAUGAAGGCCAGGCUGAAGACUUUGCCGGAUUAGCUGAGAGGUGGUGCAUGGCUGUCGUCAGUUCGUACUGUGAAGCAUCCUGUUAAGUCAGGCAACGAGCGAGACCCACGCCCACAGUUGCCAGCGUACUCUCCGGAGUGACGGGUACACUGUGGGGACCGCCGCUGCUAAAGCGGAGGAAGGAAUGGGCAACGGUAGGUCAGUAUGCCCCGAAUAUCCCGGGCUACACGCGGGCUACAAUGGUUGGUACAAUGGGUAUCUACCCCGAAAGGGGAUGGAAAUCUCCUAAAGCCAAUCUUAGUCCGGAUUGAGGGCUGCAACUCGCCCUCAUGAAGCUGGAAUCCGUAGUAAUCGCGUUUCAACAGAACGCGGUGAAUACGUCCCUGCUCCUUGCACACACCGCCCGUCAAACCACCCGAGUAGGGUUUGAAUGAGGGCGCUUCCUCUGGAGGCGUUCGAAUUUGAGCUCUGCAAGGGGGGUUAAGUCGUAACAAGGUA
rnacentral:rRNA from 1 species